GGUUUGAAUUAAUCUCACGACCCUGAGGUCAUCCUCAAGAGGAUGCUUGGCACAGGCAGGGGCUCAAUAAAUAGCUGUUAAAUGAAGCAGGUUAACAUCCACUUCUG